AUUGAACGCUGGCGGCAUGCCUUACACAUGCAAGUCGAACGGCAGCACGGGAGCAAUCCUGGUGGCGAGUGGCGAACGGGUGAGUAAAGUAUCGGAACGUGCCCAGUCGUGGGGGAUAACGUAGCGAAAGUUACGCUAAUACCGCAUACGAUCUAUGGAUGAAAGCGGGGGAUCGCAAGACCUCGCGCGAUUGGAGCGGCCGAUAUCAGAUUAGGUAGUUGGUGGGGUAAAGGCUCACCAAGCCGACGAUCUGUAGCUGGUCUGAGAGGACGACCAGCCACACUGGGACUGAGACACGGCCCAGACUCCUACGGGAGGUAGCAGUGGGGAAUUUUGGACAAUGGGCGCAAGCCUGAUCCAGCCAUGCCGCGUGCAGGAUGAAGGCCUUCGGGUUGUAAACUGCUUUUGUACGGAACGAAAAGGUUUGACUUAAUACGUUGGACUCAUGACGGUACCGUAAGAAUAAGCACCGGCUAACUACGUGCCAGCCGCCGCGGUAAAAC
rnacentral:rRNA from 1 species